UGACGGUACCCUUUCGAAUAAGAGGUUGCUAACUCUGUGCCAGCAGCAGAGGUAAUACAGAGACCUCGAGCGUUAUCCGGAUUUAAUGGGCGUAAAGCGUCUGAAGGGGGUUUGUUAAGUACCAAGUAAAAUCUUAAGGCUCAACUAAAAGUUCGCUUGGAAAACUAAUAAACUGGAGUCCAGCAAAGGUGCAUGGAACUUUCGGUGUAGGAGUGAAAUCCGUUGAUUUCGCAAGGAACACCAAAGGCGAAGGCAUUGCACUGGGCUGGUACUGACCCUGAGAGACGAAAGCGUGGGGAGCAAAACGGAUUAGAUACCCGUGUAGUCCACGCCGUAAACGAUGGAUACUAGAUGUUCGGGGAUUCGACCCCCUGGGUGUCACAGCUAACGCGUUAAGUAUCCCGCCUGGGAAGUACGGCCGCAAGGCUAAAACUCAAAGGAAUAGACGGGGAUCCGCACAAGCGGUGGAGCGUCUGGUUUAAUUUGAUAGUAAGCAAUGGACCUCACCAAGGUUUGACAUCCUAUGACAACCCUGGAAACAGGGCUUCCUUCGGGCAUAGUGACAGGUGCUGCAUGGUCGUCGUCAGUUCGUGCCGUGAGGUGUUCCGUUAAGUCGGGAAACGAACGAAACCCUCGUCGCAUGUUACAAAUUUCAUGCGAGACUGCCCGGGUCAACCGGGAGGAAGGCGGGGAUGACGUCAGAUCAGCAUGGCCCUUAUACCUUGGGCUACACAGGCGCUACAAUGGCCGGUACAAAGGGUUGCAAAACCGCGAGGUGAAGCUAAUCCCAUAAAGCCGGUCCAAGUUCGGAUUGGAGGCUGCAACUCGCCUCCAUGAAGUUGGAAUCGCUAGUAAUCGUGGAUCAGCCAUACCACGGUGUAUCGUUCCCGGAUCUUUACUCACCGCCCGUCACACCAAGAGAGUUGGUAGCUCCUGAAGCAUCGCAUUAG
rnacentral:rRNA from 1 species